AUCACAUCAUAAGUGAUAGCAUGUCAGUAAAAGAGUUCAAAAGCUACAUUCCCUUAUCGACUUCAGGAUACAACUGAGACUAACAACUCAUACCGUUGCACCAAAAUUUAGCAGGUAGUGACUACGGAUGAGGUGAUCGCCGGAGAUCUCAGUUAUGAGCUCACAAAAGAGAAAGUGAACCUACCAGGAACCGAGGAGAAAAUCUCUGCAAGAUUGAUCAGCAGCGGCACGAAGAAUCUCGCGAUCGAAGCCGUUGGAAUCUGCUCACCGGAGACGUCGUGAUCUCAAAGUCGCUGGAGACGUCGUGAUCUCAAAGUCGCUCUUGCACUGGAUCAAAACGAAGUGAUGAUAGAAAGAGAGAGAAGAGAGCUUCUGGUAACUACUGAGGGUUUAAGCAUGAGGAGAAGGAUUGGCACAUCUAUAUAAACAGAGAGCUGAGGCAGUGGCAAGAAGUCUUGUGGUGAUCGGAAACGGAGGAAAGAGACCUUCAUGGACUUUUGUGACAGCUAAUAUCCAACCCAUGAGAGGGCCCCUCAUCUCUGCAAGGGUUGAUGUUAGACCGAGCCUUCUGAAGAGGCUUGUCAGGGGUUGAUAGCAUCAAAACCAGCAUUCUGAUGCGAGUUCGAACUGCUGUAGCUGGCACAUUCCACAGUGUGGAUCAUUGGAUUUGCCUAGGUAGUAGAGGCAAAAGAUUGUGCUACAUAUUUAAUUAGAGGAGGUUGGAUUUAUUGAUUUAUAACAGGAUCGUACUAAUCGUGAAAUUUGAAUCGAUUGGAGGUGAUUUCUU